rnacentral:tRNA from 1 species
GCCGAAAUAGCUCAGUUGGGAGAGCGUUAGACUGAAGAUCUAAAGAUACUCACUGCAGUAGAGGAAAGAAUGGAAGAUCUCAGUG